GGUGGCCUGACGGGGAAGUUCCCUGCAGCAUCGUCAGCGCAGAGCCCGGAAACGGCCGGGACGUCGUGUGAUCUUGGCGCGUAAAGGCAUUGUUGGAACUGCAGGCGUGGAUGCUCGCAGGUGCUACCGACUGACCCCUUUCUCUGUACCAAACGCUGCAGAGAAGGCUCUCUCUGCACGUGUGACUUGCAUUUGCCACAACUCACGACGCGGAUUUGGUUAUUGCCCUAAUUUUGCAGGGAGCUCCGUGUUCUGGUGCUGGUGACCGACGAGGUGGACAAAGUGGGUUGGAAAACCCGCAUCGGGAAGGACGACAGGCCGGCAACAGCCCCACCGCCUCUCUUGCCGUAUCGACCGCGCACCUGCAAUUAACCACACCGAGACUUAACAAAUCUGCAAGCCACAUUUCUUUCGGCGGCAGCGUGGAAGGCUUUUGCCAGCUCCUAGCUGCGUAAAUGAGAACAAUGCGCUGUUUUUAAAAAGGACGUUUUAAAACCUGCGGACACUUGAAUGAACAUCCAGCUUGGAGCCCCACAGAAGACAGAGACGCUGGCUGCGUGCCCCGUUAACACCCCUCGCUCCUCUGCUGUGGUGGGAGCCACCACUGGCCUCUCCAAGGCGUUCUAGAAAGAACAGUGGUUUUUGUUUUUUUUUUUGGCGGGGGGGGGGGGUGUCAAACUCACCACCCGGAGAGCAAGUGUCGCGUGCUCUGCCCGCCGAGCCAGCCAGGCGCCCCGAGAGACAGCAGUGUUACAAAACAGGGGUUUGCCUUCAACACCUCAUCCUCAUCCAGAUUGGACGCCCCAAAUUCCCACCGCAGCCCACGCAGCGAGGUUGCGGCGCAAUCGCUGCAAACUGCUUUCUCGUAAAAAUAGAAAGAAAAUGUUGGCUGCAGCUGCAGUUAAUUUACUUCUGAUGAGUCUAACCUUUCCUUCUCGGAGGAAGUUGUUUAGCGGGAGGGGAAAAUCGGUCACAAUAUUGUCUUAUGACUGUUUAUCUUGUGAGCCCAAGUGAUACUGAUUGCAAAUAUUUAUGCGCAUUUUUAAAAAUCUCAGCUAACGUUUGGAAUGCUUUUUUUUUUUUUUAAGAAGAGUGAAAUCAGAUUUCAGGUGGAUUUAGCAAUUUUGGAGGAUUUCAAAGUCGUAACCAAGCUUCCUCUACCGGCCCGCUGGCCCAUUAAUCGCCUAAAUACAGCAAUUAGGCAAACAUGAUCAAAAUACAGAAUCUUACCAUUUUGUUUGGCUUGGGAAGUCUUGUCUUGGUUUUAAAUGAACAUUAUUAAUGACUAGUCUAGAAAUUGAAGUCGUCCUCUUGGCUUAGGUUACAU